UCCUGGUUAGUUCAGUUGGUAGAGCUCUCCACUGGAAGUGGAGGGUUCCCUUGUUUGAUACGAGGACCAGGAG
rnacentral:tRNA from 1 species